AAGUCGUAACAAGGUUUCCGUAGGUGAACCUGCGGAAGGAUCAUUAAAAGUGAUUGGUUAUACAUCUUCAUGUAUCACUGCCAUUCACCAUUCCGAGCUUGCACCUUUGCCCUUGCUUGCGGUUCCCAUGGGGCCUGCACCUGAGGUCACUCUUGUGAUGUGAAACCCAAGAGAGUCCCCAUGGGAGGUAAUCAUUAAAUUCAUGUAUCCAAUGUCUUCUGUCUGAACUGUUUAUAACAAAUGUUAAAA
rnacentral:misc_RNA from 1 species